ensembl:lncRNA
ACUGUGACUAAUUCAAAUAGUUUGUGGAUGCAUGAGGCCAAGAGCCCAAAGCUGUCAGUCAGCAAUGUAUGGAAGAUCCAGCAAUUUGAUAAUACAGAGACUGAUCAUGUCAAACAAGAUCAUUCUGAGGUAGGACACACACUUCUGAUGACACUCAGUAAUGAUGAUAUGAAUACAUGGACCCAGCUAAAGGCAAAAACAGAUGAAGAGGAUGCAGAGAGAGAGAAACAGAGGCAGAUGGAGGAAAAGAGGAUGAGAGAGGUGGACAAUGGAGGAAAGAAAAAAGAGAGAAAACAGGGAGAGAUGGUAGCACAGACAGCAAACAAGCCACCCAAGAUCAGCAGAGACUUAGAAAUCGUCCAAAAGAUAGAGGAGGAAAGAAAGAAAGAAGAGAUGGAGAAAGCAGCACAGAAGGAGCAAAAAGAGGCAGAGAGGAGAAAGAUAGAGAUUGAGGAGGAGAGAAAAGUGAGAGAAAGAGAGGAGAUGAGAAAGAUUGUAGAGGUGAUGAACAGGAGGUGGGAGGCUCUGCCAGGAGACAGCGAUGACCGCAACGGGGCGACUGACUCCGAUGACUUGUGGAUGGAUGAGGUGGAGAAGAGGCGGCAAGUGGAGGUCAUAAACCCCCAAAACAAACCUCAGGAAGAGGGGGAAAGAGGACACACCCUGCCUGGAAGUGCCCAAGUAAACGUAGAGCAGAAAAAGAAAGGACGAUCUGUGUUGAAGUGGCUGAAGAAGAGACUGAGUUUUGGGACCACAAAAGUGAAACAGUGAUAUGGACACACAAAGACACAUAUGGACAAUGAAAGGGAAAGAAAGGAAUCACAGAUUCUCCAUAAAUUUGUCACAUCCUACAUAUCAUCUUCCCAAUAAUAGAAUUAAUCUCAAAAUCUCAGUGGACAAAUACAACGUUUUGGAGAAACACACAAUUGCAU